UACUACGUCAUCCAUUUGUGUACUACGUCAUCCAUUUGUGUACUACGUCAUCCAUCUGUGUACUACGUCAUCCAUUUGUGUACUACGUCAUCCAUUUGUGUACUACGUCAUCCAUUUGUGUACUACGUCAUCCAUUUGUGUACUACGUCAUCCAUUUCGUAUCAUAUGUUACGUCCUGCAAAAUGAUUAUUAUACAUUUUUUGGUGCAAUUCGUAUGAUAGGUUACAAAUGAGUUGUGCUUAAGAUCUGCAUUGUUAAAGGCUCAGUGUAGUCAAAAACGUGAUUUACCUGUGUUUUGUAUACAUUUCCACACUAUGAGGUUGGAAUAAGGAAAUUGUGAAAAUGAUGAUCAUGCCCUUUUAGUGUAAGAGCUGUUUGAAAAAGACAGCCAGAAAUUUCUGCCUGUUUUGGUGGGAGUUAAUUUAUCAGGCGAUAAAUGAGUUAAUAAACCAAUAAGAAAGAGAGUUCCAAACCUCUCUGCCAAUAACAGCUAUUAUAUAUAUUUUUUAAAUGUAUUUUUGUAUUUUACCCCCUUAUUUGACCCAAUUUCGUGAUAUAAAAUUGCGAUCCAAUUCCGUUUCUUGUCUCAUCGCUGCAACUUCCCAACUGGCUCGGGAGAGACGAAGGUCGAGUCAUGCGUCCUCUGAAACAUGACCCGCCAAACCGCACUUCUUAACACCCGCCCGCUUAAACUGGGAAGGCAGCCGCACCAAUGUGUCGGAGGAAACACCGUUCAGCUGAUGACCGAAGUCAGCCUACAGGCAAGCUGGGAAAUGCAUAUCCUCAUAAGCCUGAACAGCAUCUGCACAGAUCUAGGUGUGCCUUUGGCUGCAGAAGAACAGAAGGUGUUGACUAACAAGUAGAAUUGGGACAGCUGACCCAGAACAGAAGGAGUUGACCAACAAGUGGAAUUGGGACAGCUGACCCAGAACAGAAGGAGUUGACCAACAAGUAGAAUUGGGACAGAUGACCCAGAACAGGAGUUGACCAACAAGUGGAAUUGGGACAGAUGACCCAGAACAGAAGGAGUUGACCAACAAGUAGAAUUGGGACAGAUGACCCAGAACAGGAGUUGACCAACAAGUGGAAUUGGGACAGAUGACCCAGAACAGAAGGAGUUGACCAACAAGUGGAAUUGGGACAUAUGACCCAGAACAGAAGGAGUUGACCAACAAGUGGAAUUGGGACAGAUGCCCCAGAACAGAAGGAGAUAACCAACAAGUGGAAUUGGGACAGAUGUGCCAGAACAGAAGGAGAUGACCAACACGUGGAAUUGGGACAGAUGGCCCAGAACAGAAGGAGAUGACCAACAAGUGGAAUUGGGAAAGAUCAACUAGAACAGAAGGAGAUGACCAACAAGUAGAAUUGGGACAGAUAACCAGAACAGAAGGAGAUGACUAACAAGUAGAAUUGGGACAGAUUAACCAGGUCUCAACCUACAUGCACAUACACACACUAUGUUGAUGACAAUGUUUAUAAGAUUAAGUUAUUUCUCGAUGUAUCGCAGGAUGUAACUCUUGUGAUUGUAAUCAAGACUGUGUGUGUGUGUGUGUGUGUGUGUGUGUGUGUGUGUGUGUGUGUGUGUGUGUGUGUGUGUGUGUGUGUGUGUGUGUGUGUGUGUGUGUGUGUGUGCCAUGCAUACUUCCUGUAUAUACACCUCUUGCGUAGGUGAAUUACACUACGUUUCCUCUGCUUGUGCAUAGUACUCUGUGUAACAUAACAGUUUCCUAACAAUGCUAUCUCAGCGAAGGGGGUAUGAUAACAUUUACCAGUGUGUGGCAUAAACAGCAGGCCUUGUGAAUCCAGAGGAUAACCAGACUCCUGGGCCUCGCCCGGCUCCGAUAACGAGUGGAACUCUUCUCCCAACCUUAACAUGCCCUCUUUCUGGAUGGACCAUGUACUUAACUUGGACUGAAGACUGGGAAUCUUCCUUCCAGUGAAGAUGUUAUGCCAGGUUUUUCAUUGGACAUCAGAAUGAAUGUCCAAUUGUCUAUUCAACGGUCACCAACUCUGGAGAAAAGCUAGUGAGCUGCACAGACCAUCCACCCGAGCAUCUCUGCUAUGUUGUAAUUACAUGAUGUCUAUUUUAUGACUACAUUAUUAUUAUUAUUAUGAUGCUAUUAUCAAAAGCAACUGUGACAGGUGUUUACGACUCUCAUUGGUAGAAGGAAGAGUGGACCAAAGCGCAGCGUGGUCAAUGUUCAUGAUUCCUUUUAUUCAAAACCCAAAAAGUAAAGGACAACUUAUAUGUGAUCCCCAAUCAGAGGCAACGAUAGACAGCUGCCUCUGAUUGGGAACCAUGCUCAGCCAAAAACACAAAGAAAUAGAAAACAUAGAUUUUCCCACCCGAGUCACAGCCUGACCUAACCAAACAUAGAGAAUAAUAAGGUUCUCUAAGGUCAGGGCGUGACAGCAGGACUGGCUUUGGGACAAGUCUCUGAACGUCCUUGAGAGGUCCAGCCAGAGCCCGGACUUGAACUUGAUCAAACAUCACUGGAGAGACCUGAAAAUAGCUGUCUCUGGAGAGACCUGAAAAUAGCUGUCUCUGGAGAGACCUGAAAAU
ensembl:lncRNA